AUACCUUUCUCGGCCUUUUGACUAAAAGAUCAAAGUGUAGUUUAUAUUCUUAUCAGUUUUAUAUUUGAACCAUUGAUUAACACGAGACUAACUUGAUUUUUUGACAGGAUGAGAUCAUUAUGGUGGUUUACUGCCUGGCCUCUUGCGCGUCGCCUAUGCGUUGCACUAUCGCACAGGCCCCGUGGAGGUAUA
rfam:Solanum lycopersicum cultivar Heinz 1706 chromosome 2, whole genome shotgun sequence.